GAUCCUCCCACCCUUUGUGUACCUACCUCUGUUGCUUUGGCGGGCCGCGGUUCUCCGCGGCCGCCCCCCUCCCCGGGGGGUGGCCAGCGCCCGCCAGAGGACCAUCAAACUCCAGUCAGUAAACGAUGCAGUCUGAAAAACAUUUAAUAAACUAAAACUUUCAACAACGGAUCUCUUGGUUCUGGCAUCGAUGAAGAACGCAGCGAAAUGCGAUAAGUAAUGUGAAUUGCAGAAUUCAGUGAAUCAUCGAAUCUUUGAACGCACAUUGCGCCCUUUGGUAUUCCGAAGGGCAUGCCUGUUCGAGCGUCAUUACAACCCUCAAGCUCUGCUUGGUAUUGGGCACCGUCCUUUGCGGGCGCGCCUCAAAGACCUCGGCGGUGGCGUCUUGCCUCAAGCGUAGUAGAACAUACAUCUCGCUUCGGAGCGCAGGGCGUCGCCCGCCGGACGAACCUUCUGAACUUUUCUCAAGGUUGACCUCGGAUCAGGUAGGGAUACCCGCUGAACUUAAGCAUAUCA
rnacentral:rRNA from 1 species